rnacentral:rRNA from 1 species
UACGGAGGGUGCGAGCGUUGUCCGGAAUCAUUGGGCGUAAAGAGCUCGUAGGCGGCUUGUCGCGUCGGAUGUGAAAGCCCGGGGCUUAACUCCGGGUCUGCAUUCGAUACGGGCAGGCUAGAGUUCGGUAGGGGAGAUCGGAAUUCCUGGUGUAGCGGUGAAAUGACGCAGAUAUCAGGAGGAACACCCGUGGCUAAGGCGGCUCUCUAGUACGGUACUGACGCUGAGACGCGAAAGCGUGGGGAGCGAACAGG